rnacentral:lncRNA from 1 species
CUUCACUCCCCUACACACAGUAGCAACCGCAGGCGUCUUCUCGUCUGUCUCCUUCUGGUAAUUUUUCCUUUCAAGACGAUUGUGCAAUUUCAUCUGAUUUUUUUCCCGAAUUUUCUGUUAUUUAUUUAUUUUUUUGAUUUCUGGUGAUGUGUAAAGAUAUAAGCUACUGUUUGAUUUCAGCUAUGGAUUCAUGUUCGGCAGGGAGUCUGCACGCAAGGAGCUCAGUGAUUUAAUCGAGAGCCUCCGCCGUGCUAAUUCUGAUCCUGCUUCGUCUUCUUCUCCAUCGCAACAUUCCUAAAAUGAAGGUAUAGAAGGAACACUUACAUCUGAUCACAAAAAUUAUCAAUUUUGUUAUUAUGUACUAAUUGGGAAGGAAAAAAAAAUGAUUUAGCUUACAAGAGGAGUUCCAAAUGCUUUUAAGAAUUCCCAUUAAAGAAAAAUAUUUUUCGAAUGAAACUGUAUGCAUUCUUGAUUUUGAUAACUGGGGAAUAUUAAAUAAUUAGAAUACAAGAUUAAGAGUGAAUGUGGUCGAGUUGAGGUGGUUUGAUUUUUAGGUUUAAGGAAUGGUGGUCAGAGGGCUUCCGAAAUGGAAAAUGUCUAUUUUUAUUCAAAUGAUUUAUCUUCGUUAACCUAAGCAUAGGCUAAUUGAACUAAGAAGCCCAUGACAACAUCUCUUAGAUUAUGAAUUCUUGGAUUUUUUAUCAUUCUUUGUCCCAUCCAUGAACCAAACAUGGCCUAAAGAGAAUCAUUAAUCGGUUAGAAUUUUUUAAAAUCAGCAAGUGAACACGAAGGUUUGAUAUCUUGUUUGUAGGAAGACUAAAAGUUAAAUAAAACCUCUUAUGAUGGGAAAUAAUUUAUAUCUCAAAUUUGAAUUGUGAAUUCCGUACAAAUUUCUAAUAUUCUUAAAUUAUCUGAUUCUGAUUAGCUUUUGCACAGGUUCAGGCUUUGCCGUUUAAUUUUCAAUUCUCAACUUUGGAAUUUCAAAUCACGUUUUUUAGUCUGAAUCAGUGUUUGCACGUGCCAAGAAUGGAGUAUCUAGUAAGCCGGGGUAAACAAGAAGCUUGUCCAAUACCAUAGCUUAAGGUAAGUAAAGUAACAUCUCGGUCCUGUGCUCUCUGUAAAGGUCACUGAAAAGUGGAAACAUAGUCUUCUUCCGUUAGCUUUGUAUCAGAAUAAUUAAAUGUUUACAUGUUAAUUAAAUACGCUAAUUCUAUAUUAUGUGAUUUGCUGGAUAGAAAAAUAAUCUAAUGGUUGAUGGAUGCUACUCUUUUUUCCCAUUUUCAGCAAGACUGCAGCACAUGCUCACUAUCUGUAAACUAUGCCACUUCAAAUGGCGUAGCAGCUUUACUAUUCAUGCUCUUAGUGGAUUAUUCAUUAUCUUGUUAAGUUAUUUCAGUUUCUGUUGAUGUUUCCAAGAAGUUAAAUAGAGAUUGAAAAAUGUACACGAGUGUUUAUCAUGAAUGUUAACCUGCCAUUUAAAUAUCGAACUCUCACAUAAGCUGUAUAUGUAUAUUCACAUGCUUUUUCCUCUUGAUGUGAAAUAGACAUUAGAUGACCUCGAUACGGGGUAAUAUAACUAGUCAUGUUUCUGGAAAAGAAUGGAUACUUGGAUGCAUCCAUUUAACAUAGCUAACAUAGAUACAUCUUUUUCCAUAUUCACGUCUGCUUCUCUGCCAGAAGUCGAGUUCAUUGAUCAGAUCAUUUACAAGUACCUCCAAAAUGCAACAGUAUGUCUUAUUGAAGGCCCGAAAUCUUAUAAUGAGACUCCACUGAAAGCUAGGAAAGAAAAAAGUAGGAAACAAGAACAAUUAGUUAUGAGUAAUGAUGCGCUAACAUCCUGGUGACAAUUUGAGAAUAACGAUGCAUUAACAUCCUGGGAAGAGAUUUGAAUAGCUGUAAAUUGGCUCUCUUUUUAUUGGAUACGAAAAAUGUUAAUUUAAGAAUUCAAUGUCUUAGACUUUGUUAAAGGGAAUCAAUGAAUUUUUAAAACAUAUAUUCUUUUUCAACUUUCUUCUUUGUGCCUGUAUUUUGGUUUUGACUUUUUGUUCACUCACUGAUAGAGCUUGUGAAGCACAACCAUCCUCCUAGGGCAUCAUGCAGCAUGUCUGACACAUAAUGGACACUCUCAGCUGGAAUUGAAAAGUUGGAAUAGGAAAUAUGGAAACAAACAUGUACCCUCCUAUCCCGACUCAAACAGUCAUUUUGUAGGCAUGGAAUUUUAUAUUAGAAAAGCGACCCAGCAAAUCUAUCAAAAUCUGAUAAUAUUUAAAAGAAAACCACACCAAACAUGGCCUUAGUGUGACCAUUUCUAUUAUCCUUACUACAGUCGAAUACCCUUUUGGUUACCUUUUACUGAGUUGCUCAACUUCUGAUCUUGGUUGACCCAGUCAUCUGGUAAGCCCUAGAGGUCGGCGGAAUGAUGAUCGUCUUCAGUUGACAUUCUUCGGUUCGUUUAAUUGAUAUGUAUAAUAAAGAUUAUAAAACCCCUUAUGACAAGAAUAUUUCUUCUUCUCUGACUAUUCAGGACACUACAUCUCCUGUUCAUCUAAAUUGGGUGGGCUAAUUACUGUGUAUCAUCUAAAAUUCUGGAGAUGCGUUUUGCAGAUUGAAAGUAAAAAGGCUAUCUCAUAGGAAGGAAGGUUACAUUGCUUUCGAGUUAUGAUGAAUGGGAGGCUGAAGACUCUUUAGUCAAGUCUUAGCUAGUAAAUUCCAUGACUAACAACAUGAUGUUGCAUUUUGUUCGGUGGCACGGCUAAAGAAGUUUGUGAUACAGUUGCUCUUCACAACUAUAUGGUCUGCCUCUUUCUGAUUACUACAAUGAACUUAACUCCAUGUUUAUGGAAUUUGAUUAUAGCAGCCUAAUGAUAGACUUGUACAGCCGAUAUUGUGAAACACAGAAAGUAUAUUGAUGAGGAUUGAGUAUAUACGUUUCUUGCAGUUCUUGAACACUGUUCGAAUUAAGUUAGUAGUUGUGUUUUGGCUACAUCUCCUCUCCCAAGUCUGGAAGAGGCCAAUGUACUAAUCUAUCAUGAAAGUACAAAUGUAAGUUACUAUGGGUACACGUCGUCUCAAAGGCUUUGACUUUAGUUAUUCAGAAGAAUAACUCAGGAUUAGCUACUUUAGCCCCAUCUACCGGGCCCCACACUCAUUACCACGACACUACACACGGUUGAUAUUUGCUGGAAACUAAAUGGUUAUCCAGAGUGAUUAAAAAUUAAGCAAGCUGAAAAAAGAAGAAAAAUCUGCUCAGAUAGCAAGACUGCUAUCACUGAUGCCUCUCCAUCUUCUGCUA